GACAGAGGAUGCAAGCGUUAUCCGGAAUUAUUGGGCGUAAAGAGUACGUAGGCGGCUUAUCAAGUCAGGGGUUAAAUCCCGCAGCUUAACUGCGGAUCGGCCUUUGAAACUGAUCGGCUAGAGUAUGGUAGGGGUAGAGGGAAUUCCCGGUGUAGCGGUGAAAUGCGUAGAUAUCGGGAAGAACACCUGUGGCGAAAGCGCUCUACUGGACCAUAACUGACGCUGAGGUACGAAAGCUAGGGGAGCGAAUGGG
rnacentral:rRNA from 1 species